ACUCUGCAGCACGGUCCCCUCGUUCCUUGGAAGAGACGGAGAGGUGAGUGUUUGUCAUCUACUGGUGGACUAACCAGAGAGAAUUACAGCAGCAGAACACACCGUC